UACGUAGGGGGCAAGCGUUGUCCGGAAUUAUUGGGCGUAAAGAGCGUGUAGGCGGUCCGGUAAGUCAGCUGUGAAAGUCAAGGGCUCAACCCUUGAAUACCGGUUGAUACUGUCGGGCUAGAGUCCGGAAGAGGCGAGUGGAAUUCCCGGUGUAGCGGUGAAAUGCGCAGAUAUCGGGAGGAACACCAAUGGCGAAGGCAGCUCGCUGGGACGGUACUGACGCUGAGACGCGAAAGCUAGGGGAGCGAACAGG
rnacentral:rRNA from 1 species